rnacentral:rRNA from 1 species
CCUACGGAGGCAGCAGUGAGGAAUAUUGGUCAAUGGGCGCGAGCCUGAACCAGCCAAGUAGCGUGAAGGAUGACUGCCCUACGGGUUGUAACCUUCUUUUAUAAAGGAAUACAGUGAGGCACGUGUGCCUUUUUGUAUGUACUUUAUGAAUAAGGAUCGGCUAACUCCGUGCCAGCAGCCGCGGUGAUACGGUGGAGCCGGGCGUUAUCCGGAUUUAUUGGGUUUAAAGGGAGCGUGGAUGGGUUGUUAAGUAAGUUGUGAAAGUUUGCGGGUCACCCGUAAAAUUGAAAUUGAUACUGGCAGUCUUGAGUACAGUUGAGGUAGGCGGAAAUCGUGGUGUAGCGGUGAAAUGCUUAGAUAUCACGAAGAACUCCGAUUGCGAAGGCAGCUUACUAAACUGCCACUGACAUUGAUGCUCGAAAGUGUGGGUAUCAAACAGGAUUAGAUACCCUUGUAGUC